UACGUAGGGCGCAAGCGUUGUCCGAAAUUAUUGGGCGUAAAGGGCUCGUAGGCGGUCUGUUGCGUCGGGAGUGAAAACUCAGGGCUUAACCCUGAGCCUGCUUCCGAUACGGGCAGACUAGAGGUAUGCAGGGGAGAACGGAAUUCCUGGUGUAGCGGUGAAAUGCGCAGAUAUCAGGAGGAACACCGAUGGCGAAGGCAGGUCUCUGGGCAUUAACUGACGCUGAGGAGCGAAAGCAUGGGGAGCGAACAGG
rnacentral:rRNA from 1 species